UACGGAGGAGGCAAGCGUUAUCCGGAAUUAUUGGGCGUAAAGCGUCCGUAGGUGGUUAUUCAAGUCAGUUGUUAAAGCGUGGGGCUUAACUCCAUAAAGGCAAUUGAAACUGAAUAGCUAGAGUGCGGUAGGGGCAAGGGGAAUUCCCAGUGUAGCGGUGAAAUGCGUAGAUAUUGGGAAGAACACCGGUGGCGAAAGCGCCUUGCUGGGUCUGCACUGACACUGAGGGACGAAAGCUAGGGGAGCGAAAGGG
rnacentral:rRNA from 1 species